rnacentral:rRNA from 1 species
GCCCAACAGCUAGCCCACCUAAACAAUUUCAACAAGCCCCUGUUAAUAACCCCUAAAUACCCCAGUAUUUAAAUUAAACAAACCAUUUUUCCCCCUUAGUAUAGGCGAUAGAAAAGGGACUACGGCGCAAUAGAGAAAGUACCGCAAGGGAAUGCUGAAAGAGAAAUGAAAUAACCCAGUAAAGCCUGAAAAAGCAGAGAUUUAAACUCGUACCUUUUGCAUCAUGAUUUAGCGAGUGUACCCCAAGCAAAGAGAACUUUAGUUUGACGUCCCGAAACUACGUGAGCUACUCCAAGACAGCCUAUUAAUAGGGCGUACCCGUCUCUGUGGCAAAAGAGUGGGGAGAGCUUUGAGUAGAGGUGAUAAACCUACCGAACCUAGUUAUAGCUGGUUGUCCAAGAAAUGAAUAGAAGUUCAGCCUCUUGGCUUCUCUUUUCACCCUAGUUUAACCCCUAUUGAUGCAUCAAAGAAACCGAGAGAGUUAGUCAAAGGGGGUACAGCCCCUUUGAAUCAAGACACAACUUUACCAGGAGGGU